UACGUAGGGGGCAAGCGUUGUCCGGAAUCAUUGGGCGUAAAGAGCGUGUAGGCGGCCUGAUAAGUCGGUUGUGAAAGUCAAGGGCUCAACCCUUGAAUGCCGACCGAUACUGUCAGGCUAGAGUCCGGAAGAGGCGAGUGGAAUUCCUGGUGUAGCGGUGAAAUGCGCAGAUAUCAGGAGGAACACCAAUGGCGAAGGCAGCUCGCUGGGACGGUACUGACGCUGGAGACGCGAAAGCGUGGGGAGCGAACAGG
rnacentral:rRNA from 1 species